CCUACGGGAGGCUGCAGUGGGGAAGAGUGGGCAAUGGAGGCAACUCUGACCCAGCAACGCCGCGUGAAUGAUGAAGGUCUUCGGAUUGUAAAGUUCUGUGAUGGGGGAGGAACACAAUGACGGUACCCCAAUAGCAAGCAACGGCUAACUACGGGCCAGCAGCCGCGGUAAUACGUAGGUGGCAAGCGUUAUCCGGAAUGACUGGGCGUAAAGGGAGCGUAGACGGUGCAGCAAGUCUGAUGGGAAAGGUCGGGGCCCAACCCCGGGACUGCAUGGGAAACUGUUGAACUGGAGUACCGGAGCGGUAAGCGGACUUCCUCGUGUAGCGGUGACAUUCGUAGAUAUUAGGCGGC
rnacentral:rRNA from 1 species